AUAGCGUAUAUUAAAGUUGUUGCAGUUAAAAAGCUCGUAGUUGAACUUCAGACCUGGCUGGGCGGUCUGCUUAACGGCAUGUACUGUCUGGCUGGGUCUUACCUCUUGGGGAGCUGGUGUGCCCUUUAUUGGUGUGCACCAGGGAACCAGGACUUUUACCUUGAGAAAAUUAGAGUGUUCAAAGCAGGCACUUGCCUGAAUACAUUAGCAUGGAAUAAUGGAAUAGGACGUGCGGUUCUAUUUUGUUGGUUUCUAGAGUCGCCGUAAUGAUUAAUAGGGAUAGUUGGGGGCAUUGGUAUUGAGUCGCUAGAGGUGAAAUUCUUGGAUUGACUCAAGACCGACUAUUG
rnacentral:rRNA from 1 species